ensembl:lncRNA novel transcript
CCUUCCCCUCCUCUGCAUGCCUUUAGCUUCCCACCAAGCUGGGCCUGAGAAACAAGGGACCCGAACCUGGAGAGGCCGGUGUUCCUGGACUGCUCUGCAGUCACAGAUUGUCACGGAGCCCCUGGUUGUCUGAGGACCCCAGGCCUGAACCUUCCUUGAGGAAGACUGAUUUCUUUCAGACUACUUUGCUCAGUUUGAUUUUAAACAGAAGGCUAAUAAUUAUCCAGAAGAGACAGGAUGAGGCUUGGACAAAGGAGGUGGAGGGUAUCAAAAGAUAUUUAGAAGAUAAAGGAAGUCUGGACUUGGUGCUGUGGGUAUACCCUCCCUCAUGGCACACACCAGGUUAUUUUGAAGCAAAUCCUAGACGUCAUCAAACAGUUCAAAUUGCCCAAGUGUCUCCUACACACUUCUUUUUUCUUUUACAGUUUGUUUGAAUCUGGGUCCAAAUAAAGUCCACACAUUGCA